rnacentral:rRNA from 1 species
AGAGUUUGAUCCUGGCUCAGGAUGAACGCUGGCGGCGUGCUUAACACAUGCAAGUCGAACGGGAAUUACUUUAUUGAAGCUUCGGUCGAUUUAAUUUAAUUCUAGUGGCGGACGGGUGAGUAACGCGUAGGUAACCUGCCUUGUAGCGGGGGAUAACUAUUGGAAACGAUAGCUAAUACCGCAUAACAAUGGAUGACACAUGUCAUUUAUUUGAAAGGGGCAAUUGCUCCACUACAAGAUGGACCUGCGUUGUAUUAGCUAGUAGGUGAGGUAACGGCUCACCUAGGCGACGAUACAUAGCCGACCUGAGAGGGUGAUCGGCCACACUGGGACUGAGACACGGCCCAGACUCCUACGGGAGGCAGCAGUAGGGAAUCUUCGGCAAUGGGGGCAACCCUGACCGAGCAACGCCGCGUGAGUGAAGAAGGUUUUCGGAUCGUAAAGCUCUGUUGUAAGUCAAGAACGAGUGUGAGAGUGGAAAGUUCACACUGUGACGGCAGCUUACCAGAAAGGGACGGCUAACUACGUGCCAGCAGCCGCGGUAAUACGUAGGUCCCGAGCGUUGUCCGGAUUUAUUGGGCGUAAAGCGAGCGCAGGCGGUUUGAUAAGUCUGAAGUUAAAGGCUGUGGCUCAACCAUAGUUCGCUUUGGAAACUGUCAAACUUGAGUGCAGAAGGGGAGAGUGGAAUUCCAUGUGUAGCGGUGAAAUGCGUAGAUAUAUGGAGGAGCACCGGUGGCGAAAGCGGCUCUCUGGUCUGUAACUGACGCUGAGGCUCGAAAGCGUGGGGAGCGAACAGGAUUAGAUACCCUGGUAGUCCAUGCCGUAAACGAUGAGU